AGCUGCAUGUAUCUUGUGGCUCUUAUGAGCGAAAUGGUGUCAGUAAAAGUCUUACCUUAUGGAAAGACUCAGAUGUGUGUGGACCUGGUUAUGUCUGACUUUGCGCAGCUCACAACAUCCACACUUGCUCUAUGUAUUUUUAUUCUUCUGGGAUCAGUGGGCAAGUGAGGCAUGUUCAUCUUAAAUGGGAUCAGAGUAUGCCACACCAAAAAAUGCACCUUGACAUAAGGAUGAUUAAGACUCAGUAGUUGCAAAAGAAUUCUUACUCUCCCCUUUUCUGCCGAAAAGUAGGAUAUAAAUAUCUUGUGAAGGUAACGUCCUCUUUCGUACCAAGAGGAGAAGAGAGACUCUUAUCAUCAGAGAUAGCACCUAAAUGAGUCUGCAUAAACAAACUUUGCUAAAAUAACUCGUCUUCAUUACCUUUGCCAUAUAUUUCCUAGUCACUUUUUUCCCCCAUGAUUCAUCGUUUCUCAAAGCUCAAAGCCCCUUUCCUUUGUUAAAAUGGUAUAUAAGGCCCUGAGUCUAACCACUUCAGUUUUACUUUUUUUCUGUAAACUCGUGUGCACACAAACAUUAAUAAAAAUUGUAUGCCUUUUCUCCCAUUCCCCUGUCUUUUGUUACUUUAAUUCGCAGACCCCCAGGAACAAAAUAUCACAGAGUAGUGUAAGAGUUUGUCCUCUCCAGCAAUCUCAUGGCAAAAAGGCUCGAAAGCACAACUGUGCAAACACAUUUGAAGACGUCCAUCAUGUCACUUCCACUGAGAUCCCACUGGCGAAAGCAAGUCACAUGGAGACAGAUUUUCACUCUUGUUGCCUAGGCUGAAGGGCAGUGGCACGAUCUCGGCUCACCGCAAUCUACGCCUCCCGGGUUCAAGCGAUUCUGUUGCCUCAGCCUCCCAAGUAGCUGGAAUUACAGGCGUGUGCCACCACGCUAGGCUAAUUUUGUAUUUUUAGUAGAGACGGGGUUUCUUCAUGUUGGUCAGGCUGGUCUCAAACUCCCGACGUCAGGUGAUCUGCCUGCCUCGGCCUCCCAAAGUGCUGGGAUUACAGGCGUGAGCCACCACGCCCAGCCUAAUAAUAAUACUUACUACCCAAGAGCUAUUAACCUCCUGAUCCAAUAAUCUUAUAUGACUAGCGUGUAUCAUGGCUUGUAUAGUAAAAAUACCUCUAUAUGGACUUCACCUAAGACUCCUCAAAGCUCAUAUAGAAGCUCAAUAGUUCUUGCAACAGUACUCCUAAAGCUAGGCAGUUACGGUAUGAUACAGCUUACUCUUAUCCUCACCCCCCUAACAGAAUAUAUAGCCUAUCUGUUCCUCAUCUUGUCCCUAUGAGGAAUAGCUCUGUUUGUCUACGAUAAACUGAUCUAAAAUCAUGUAUUGGCUACUCCUCCGUAAGCCACGUAGCACUUGUUAUUAUGCCUAUCCUCAUCCAGACCCUUGAAGCUUUAUAGGUGCAAUCACCCUUAAAAUUGCUCACACAUUCACUUCAUCCUUACUAUUCUGCCUAGCAAAUUCAAACUAUGAGCGAGUCCAUAGAUGAACCAUAUUACUUACCCGAGGCCUUCAAACACUGCUCCCACUAAUAGCCUCUUCUAGCAAAUCUUACUAACCUUGCCUUACUCCCUACCAUUAAUCUAGCAGGAGAACUCUUUGUGACUAUGGCCUCAUUCUCCUGAUCAAAUGUCACUAUUAUGCUUAUAGGACUUAAUAUACUAAUUACAGCCCUUUCCUCCCUGUAUAUGCUAAUCAAGACACAACGAGGGACACUUGCAUAUUAUAUUAACAGUAUUAAACCCUCCUUUACAUGAGAAAAUACAUUAAUACUUACACAUCUUGAGCCUAUCUUCCUAUCAUCCUUAAACCCUAAAAUUAUUAUAGGGUUUGCAUGCUGUAGCUAUAGUUUAACCAAAACAUUAGAUUGUGGAUCUAACAAUAGAAGCCUGCAACUUCUUACCUAUCAAGAAAGUAUGCAAGAACUGACAGCUCAUGCCCCCAUGCCUGAUAACAUGGUUUUCUCAACUUUUAAAGGAUUAGAGUCGUCCGUUGGUCUUAGGGACUUAUCACUUACUAUGUACAAGGAUCAUGCAUUCAUAAGAUUGUUUAACCUUUAUCUUAGUUAAUCUUCUAGCUACUAUAAUUAUCCCCAUCUUGCAGCUGAGGAAAAUGAGGCUUAAAGAGAUUACGUGACUUGCCCAGGGUCACAGUGCUUACAAAUGGUAGAACUGAAAGUAAACCCUGGCAAAAACAUCUUUGCUUCUUAGCAUUCUAUGCUAAAUUCCUUCUCUGUUCAUUUUAUUUUUUUGAGACAGAGUCUCGCUCUGUCGCCCAGGCUGGAGUGCAGUGGCCCAGUCUUUGCUUACUUCAACCUCCACCUCCCGGGUUCAAGUGAUUCUCCUGCCUCAGCCUCCCAAGUAGCUGGGACUACAGGCAUCUGCCACCACGCCCAGCAAUUUUUUGUAUUUUUAGUAGAGAUGGAGUUUCAUCAUGUUGGCCAGGCUGGUCUCAAACUCCUGACCUCAGGUAAUCCACUUGCCUCAGCCUUCCAAAGUGCAGGGAUUACGGGCGUGAGCCACUGUGCCCUGCACAAUCAUUGGUUUUUAUAAAACAAAAUAUUAUAGCCACAAAAAAUAUCCCAUAACCAUUCUUCCCUACUCCUAUCGUGGUAGAAAAAAACCUAGUUCUUGUCACACAGCCAGGAAAAGGUUCAUCCUCCCUCUAUGCCCAGAGGUAACCAUGACUUGAAUUUAGUGGGGUUUUUUUUUAUUUUUAAUUUUUGUGCUACAUAGUAGGUGUAUAUAUUUAUGGAUUACAUGAGUUUUGUUUUUGUUUUUGUUUGUUUUUCAAGACAGGGUCUCACUCUGUCAUCCAGGCUGGAGAGCAGUGGUGUGAUCUCGGCUCACUGCAACCUCUGACUCCUGGAUUCAAGUGAUCCUCUCACCUCAGCCUCCCAAGUAGCUGGGACUACAGGCAUGCACUACCAUGCCCGGCUAAUUUUUCUAUUUUUAAUAGUGACAUGGUUUCACCAUGUUGGCCAGGCUGGUCUCGAACUCCUGGGCUCAAGAGAUCCAUCUGCCUUGGCCUCCAAAGGUUCUGGGGUUACAGGCAUGAGCCACCGCACCUGGCCUUUUUUUGAAUUUAGUGUUUCUAAUUCCAUUGUACUUGUCAUACUCUUACUACGUAUGUAGAUUAGCACAAACAUUACAUAGAACUAUUUGAAUGUUUUAAAAUUUUAUUUAAGUAAUAUUCUUUAAACCAUUUGCUUUUCAACUCCAGCUUACGUGUUUACACUUUGUUCUCACUGAUACAUAUAGGAAUCUUGGAAUAGGAAUAUUGCUAUAUGAUGUUCAAUUUUGUAAUAACAUUAUUUAUUCAUUUUCUGUUGAUUUUUGUUAAUACAAAUAAUACGUCAAUGGAUAUUUUGUACGUGUCUUUUAAAGCAAAUGUUCUAGAAGUUUUCUAGAUUAUGUACCCAAAAGUGCAAUUACUGUGUCAAAGGGCAUGCAUAUUUUCUACUUUAUUGCCAUGUAGUUCUCCAAUGUGGUAAUACCAAUUUACAUUCCUGCCAGCAAGCUAUGAGUGUUCUCUAUAUUCUAUAUCCUCACCAAUACUUGAAUGUGUCAGAAUUUAAAACAUUUUCCAAUCAACUGUAGUAAAAUGAUAGCUCAUUUUAAUAUAUAUUUUCCUGAUCACUAUAAUAAGCCUUUCUUAUUAUGUUAAUUGGCCAUUUACAUUUCUUCUUCUGUGAGUGUUUUGAUCCUGUUUUCUGUUCAUUUUCAUAUUGGAUUUUUUUUUCUUACUGAUUUGGAACUCUGGAUACGAAUCUUUUCUCAGUUACAUGUAUUGAAAAUAUAUUCUCCUACUGUCUUUUAACCUUUUAUGAUACCUUUUAUUAUAUCAAAAAUUUUAACUUCAAUGUAGCAAAUGUGUUCAAUUUUAAUACAUUGCUCUUUCUUUUGAAAGAUAAUGCAUACAGCACAUAGCUUAAAAUUCAAGAGGUACAAAAGAGCAUAUAGUAAAAAGUCUAUUCUCUGCCUCUUCAAAUCACCCAAUUCCCUUUAGUAUCCUCCCAGAAUUAUGCACAUAAAAGCAA